rnacentral:rRNA from 1 species
UACGGGGGGGGGCAAGCGUUGUUCGGAAUUACUGGGCGUAAAGAGCGUGUAGGCGGCCAGGUAGGUCUGGUGUGAAAACUCGAGGCUUAACCUUGGAGAUGUCAUCGGAAACCAUUUGGCUAGAGUCCGGAAGAGGGAAAGUGGAAUUCCUGGUGUAGCGGUGAAAUGCGCAGAUAUCAGGAUGAACACCAAUGGCGAAGGCAGCUCGCUGGGACGGUACUGACGCU